UUCAACAGAGCAGAGCAGAUGGAUAAAAUGGCGUCUGACGCGGGAUGGCAGUACUGGAACUGAAAGUCUUCAACAGAGCAGAGCAGAUGGAUAAAAACUGACGUCUGAUGCAGGUCAGUGUUACUGGUUUACCUCUCAGACUGACUGAAGUCCACAAGAUGAGUGCUCGUGUGGAGGAAGAGGAGGGCAGAGCAGAGCCUCCAGUAUCCAACAUUCUGUCUAUGAAGAGUGACCAGUACAACGAUCAUUUUACGACCUUCAGUAAUGAACCUGGACCAU